rnacentral:rRNA from 1 species
AUUUAGCCGUAAGUGAAACUUGACUUAGUCAAAGCUAAGAGGGCCGGUAAAACUCGUGCCAGCCACCGCGGUUAUACGAGAGGCCCAAGUUGAUAGACAUCGGCGUAAAGCGUGGUUAAGAUUAAAGACAAUACUAAAGCCGAACACCUUCAGAGCUGUUAUACGCAUCCGAAGGUAAGAAGUUCAACCACGAAAGUGGCUUUAUAGCCCCUGAACCCACGAAAGCUACGAUACAAACUGGGAUUAGAUACCCCACUAUGCCUAGCCAUAAACAUUGGUAGCACACUACACCCACUACCCGCCUGGGAACUACGAGCAUCAGCUUGAAACCCAAAGGACUUGGCGGUGCUUUAGAUCCACCUAGAGGAGCCUGUUCUAGAACCGAUAACCCCGUUCAACCUCACCUUUCCUUGUCUCUCCCGCCUAUAUACCGCCGUCGUCAGCUUACCCUGUGAAGGUUAAAUAGUAAGCAAAAUUGGUACAACCUAAAACGUCAGGUCGAGGUGUAGCGUAUGGGAAGGGAAGAAAUGGGCUACAUUUCCUAUUACAGGAAAUACGAAUGGUGUACUGAAACGUACGCCUGAAGGAGGAUUUAGCAGUAAGCAGGAAAUAGAGCGUCCCGCUGAAAUUGGCCCUGAAGCGCGCACACACCGCCCGUCACUCUCCCCAAGCCUACCAACUAAAAUAAUUAAAACCCUAUAAUCGCGAAGGGGAGGCAAGUCGUAACAUGGUAAGUGUACCGGAAGGUGCACUUGGAAAAAUCAGAGCGUAGCUAAGACAGAAAAGCAUCUCCCUUACACUGAGAAGUCACCCGUGCAAAUCGGGUCGCCCUUAUGCCCAACAGCUAGCCCCCCUAAACAAAAACAACAACCCCUUAUUAAUACCACUAAAUACACUAAUAUUUAUAUUAAACAAACCAUUUUUCCCCCUAAGUAUGUGCGACAGAAAAGGGCCUGUGGAGCGAUAGAGAAAGUACCGCAAGGGAACGCUGAAAGAGAAGUGAAA